CCCUGCCCCAGAUAGCAGCGGCAGCCGCGAGAAUUGGAACACUAUUUUUUACAGCUACUACAGAGCGACCGGCGGAAGCUCCUGGAGUUGCUAGUAAAAAAAAGCGUUCUAAUGGAGGGCUAUAGUGGAUAGCUGGAUAAGGC
rnacentral:sRNA from 1 species